GCUUGCACUCGGUUGAGAAGAGUCUCAUCCGGUAGAGCGAAUGAUUAGAGGCAUUGGGGUCGAAACGACCUCAACCUAUUCUCAAACUCCAAAUAGAUGA
rnacentral:rRNA from 1 species